ensembl:lncRNA
CAGCAGGAGGAGGAGCACCUCCCUCAGACCGCCAGCAGGAGGAGGAGCGGCUCCCCGUCCCCACUCCUCUUGAUUCCUCCUCUCCUCUCAGGCGUCCAAUCAGAGUGCGUCUGAGCUCACGUGUGGUUACAUAACCCCUCCCACGCUCUGCUGCUCCUCUAUAUAUAGCCUGGACCCCCCAAUACAGCCCGUCAAUUAUUCACCACCAAACAUCUCCAAACAGAUUGCUCUAGAGUGGGACGCAAAUACACCUGGGGGGGGGGGGUCUAUAGCAUAUUAAUAAUGACGGCCACCAACCAACGGCGCGCUGCGGUGAGCGGCGCCGUGCGGAGGCUGUGCGGCAGGUGUUGGGUUCUGCUCGCGGUGUUUAUGGUGUGUUCAUGUACAUCAGCCCCUCUGUGAGCCUCGCUGCUAUUAAUAGUUCCUGCCUGCCGUCUGUCGUUUAGGGACAGCACUGAGAACAAGAGGGGGGGUGAGGAGGGUCUUCUCCCAGAGAUGGAUGUUCUCUCAAGUGAAUCCAGAAUGUUCUGUUUAAUCGACACAGUGGACCCGCUAUAAGGGUCUGUAUCUAGUUACAGACAUUCCCUUCAGAUGGGUGGACAGAUUCUGGCUGAAGGGUCAUUUACUAAACAUUUGAUCCUGAGCUUUGUUUAAAUGACUCAAAUAGAAGCACAUUGAAACACCCUUGCUCUCAUAAUUAGUCUUAUUUUGACUAAUUGUGCAUGCAUUGUUUCAAUGCAUUAUGGGCUUUCUAUUGUACUGUUAACGGACAUUAAACAGGACCAGUAAAGAAACACGCUGACAAAACAGUAGCCUGAAGACUCCUUAAUACUGUACAUUUAAUAACAGAGGUAUGUGCAAUAAUGUAAUUAUGGGCAAGAGCAAAUUUCAAAGACAUGUUUGAUAAAUUAAUACGCCAGAUUGUUUUAAAAACAUUUGUAAAGCCAAAAUCAAAACAUCCAUGGGUCCCACAUUAAUAGGAUUGGUGCCAAAUAAAAUGAGUGCAAAAACAUAAUUACUGAUUGUGGGUUUGAUUGGCGCGGAGGACCUGGUCGUUCUCUGGUCAGUCUCACUAAAGGGUUCAAAGGUUACGCCUUCUCCAUCAAACACCAAGUAAACCAGAGCAGGCCCUGUGUCUGGUAGAGCAGGCCCUGUGUCUGGUAGAGCAGGCCCUGUGUCUGGUAGAGCAGGCCCUGUGUCUGGUAGAGCAGGCCCUGUGGCUGGUAGAGCAGGCCCUGUGUCUGGUAGAGCAGGCCCUGUGUCUGGUAGAGCAGGCCCUGUGUCUGGUAGAGCAGGCCCUGUGUCUGGUAGAGCAGGCCCUGUGUCUGGUAGAGCAGGCCCUGUGUCUGGUAGAGCAGGCCCUGUGUCUGGUAGAGCAGGCCCUGUGUCUGGUAGAGCAGGCCCUGUG